rnacentral:rRNA from 1 species
UGUUCCUACGGGACGCAGCAGUGGGGAAUAUUGCACAAUGGGGGGAACCCUGAUGCAGCGACGCCGCGUGAGUGAAGAAGUAUUUCGGUAUGUAAAGCUCUAUCAGCAGGGAAGAUAAUGACGGUACCUGACUAAGAAGCCCCGGCUAACUACGUGCCAGCAGCCGCGGUAAUACGUAGGGGGCAAGCGUUAUCCGGAUUUACUGGGUGUAAAGGGAGCGUAGACGGCGAUGCAAGCCAGAUGUGAGAGCCCGCGGCUCAACUGCGGUAGUGCAUUUGGAACUGUAUGGCUGGAGUGCAGGAGCG